AAAGGAUCUCUUUCUGGAGAUUCCUCCUUUGGAAUUUUCCAGUGAGCUCAGGACAAGGAGAGAUGUUGAUAGUGUGUGACUUUGAGAAACUGAAAGUCAACAAAAAACUUGCCUUAAUACUGUGGUCUGCGGAAGGAACAAGCACAGACUUUCUGAGGGGUGAGGGCUUGCAACACACAAGGCUUGUGAGCUGUUAGACCAAACAUCUGGGACCUCCAGAAUGGCUGCAUUGAUGGAUCCAGUGAAAGUCACAGAGGCAAACUGGCAGCUGUAUCACUACCAGUUGGUCACCAGCAAUUGUGACUGCAUACUUGAACAGACAUGCCAAAAAUAUUCUCUGCUGUAGAAUUUAUUUGCUAGAAGCAUUUUAUAAUAGCAGAUAAAGAAAGUCGUUGGAUUGUCCCCAUUCGUUCUCCUAGGAGGAAAAAAAAAACUGCACAGUGCAAAUGAUAUUUUUCACCCUUUUUUAAUUAGCUAAUAUGCUAUGCGUCAUGGUUUACUUCUGACCCCGUUCUGGAAGGUUAGAAACAGACAGCAAUGGGAUACUUUGGUUCUUUUAAUUUGUUCAUCUUAUUUUAAAAUAUAUGUAUACAAAUAGCAAGGAUCUUUCACCUGGAGGUGCUCAGCUCUUGCUAGUACUGUAAAGCUAUACAGAUAAAAAUAUGUUGCAUUUAUGUCACUGCAAAAUCCUGAAGUGCAUCCAUUGUUUUCAGAUGUCUUGGAGAGUUACUUUUCAUCCUGCAUUGGGUGUUAGGCCGUUUUCAGUGUCUUGGGAGCUUCACAAAGGUAUAAGCAACAAUGUGCUAUGUGCACUGACUUUGAUCUGCAGACUUCAAACAAAUGCACUGUGCAAGCGUUCGUCACAGACCCAACAGUCUAGCAGGAGCUGGAACCCAUUCUACGACCAAACCCAGCUAUUUUGAUUCUGUUUUUGUAUCCUCACCUUAGCAGGAGCAGGAACGAUUUAAAUGACACUGACCCUAUGUCAGUGCAUGUUCAGGUGAUUCAGACUAGAUUUUGGAGGGUUAACAGCAUGGAUAGUCGCCAAGCAGGGCGCACCACUGCGGUCAGGUCCCAGCCAAAAAUAGCAUUCAUAUUCUUGACCCAGGAUGGGGAGAUUAUUUUUUCUGUCAGAAGACUGUAAUGUAGUGGAAACUAGAGUUUCUUUCUUAGUGGUUGAAGAUUUUGGUGCUAAGCAGUUUCUUCUGGUAAAAUAUUUUAAGUAGUGACAUAAUUUCCUUUGAAUAGCUAUCAUUUUCAAGCCCAGUAAAAGUGAGAGGUUUAUGGGCUGUAUUAACUCAAACAGCCCUUUGGAGAGCAUCUAAUGUUUUAUGAAUACUUAUUGUCUGCUUUUUCUCCCUGCUUUUAAAUAAUGAAAUACCUAACACCUGCAAAUGAGUAAUGAUGUCGAGAAAGAAGAUCUAACAGUUAGUGCUGCCUGGAAUAUCAGGCAUCAGAAUUUCUCAUUUGUAAACAAGGCUUCUCACAGGGGUUGCAAAUAUCAGUCGUCAUCUCCGAAGCUGCUGCAGGAAGCGUUCAGACCGUCAGUGGGUGAGUGCACUGUGACUGAUGGCAUGCUGGAAGAAUUUGCCUCAGUUUCAGGCCUUGUGAACCAUAGGGAGCACGUCUGCAAAUGGAUCUUACAGAAGUACAGUGUGAAAGAACUUAAAGAUCAUAUAAACGUUUCUCGUGGGAGCAAAGAGAUGUGGUGUUUCAAAUUUAAUGCAAUAAAAAUUGAGUUCAGUGCCUGA